UGAGGAAUAUUGGUCAAUGGGCGCAAGCCUGAACCAGCCAUCCCGCGUGCAGGAAGACGGCCCUAUGGGUUGUAAACUGCUUUUCCGAAAGGCGAAACUCAGCGACGUGUCGUUGAUUGACGGUAUUUCGGGAAUAAGCAUCGGCUAACUCCGUGCCAGCAGCCGCGGUAAUACGGAGGAUGCGAGCGUUAUCCGGAUUCAUUGGGUUUAAAGGGUGCGUAGGCGGACUAAUAAGUCAGUGGUGAAAUCCUGCAGCUUAACUGCAGAACUGCCAUUGAUACUGUUAGUCUUGAGUUUGGUUAAGGUAGGCGGAAUGUGUAAUGUAGCGGUGAAAUGCUUAGAUAUUACACAGAACACCAAUUGCGUAGGCAGCUUACUGGACCGACACUGACGCUGAGGCACGAAAGCGUGGGGAUCGAACAGG
rnacentral:rRNA from 1 species